UAAAGAUUCAUCGCUGAUAGAUAGGCAUGCGUUCCAUUAGGCAGUUGGCGGGGUAACGGCCCACCAAACCGACGAUGGAUAGGGGUUCUGAGAGGAAGGUCCCCCACAUUGGUACUGAGACACGGACCAAACUCCUACGGGAGGCAGCAGUGAGGAAUAUUGGUCAAUGGGCGUAAGCCUGAACCAGCCAAGUCGCGUGAGGGAUGAAGGUUCUAUGGAUCGUAAACCUCUUUUAUAAGGGAAUAAAGUGCGGGACGUGUCCCGUUUUGUAUGUACCUUAUGAAUAAGGAUCGGCUAACUCCGUGCCAGCAGCCGCGGUAAUACGGAGGAUCCGAGCGUUAUCCGGAUUUAUUGGGUUUAAAGGGUGCGUAGGCGGCCUUUUAAGUCAGCGGUGAAAGUCUGUGGCUCAACCAUAGAAUUGCCGUUGAAACUGGGAGGCUUGAGUAUGUUUGAGGCAGGCGGAAUGCGUGGUGUAGCGGUGAAAUGCUUAGAUAUCACGCAGAACCCCGAUUGCGAAGGCAGCCUGCCAAGCCAUGACUGACGCUGAUGCACGAAAGCGUGGGGAUCAAACAGGAUUAGAUACCCUGGUAGUCCACGCAGUAAACGAUGAUCACUAGCUGUUUGCGAU
rnacentral:rRNA from 1 species